rnacentral:rRNA from 1 species
GACGAACGCUGGCGGCGUGCCUAAUACAUGCAAGUCGAGCGGAGCUUGCCGCGAAUCUUCGGAUGGGCGGCGGGCUUAGCGGCGGACGGGUGAGUAACACGUAGGCAACCUGCCCGCAGGACCGGGAUAACUGGCGGAAACGUUUGCUAAUACCGGAUAGACGGCCGUCUCGCAUGAGACGGUCGGGAAAGGCGCUUCGGCGCCACCUGCGGAUGGGCCUGCGGCGCAUUAGCUGGUUGGCGGGGUAACGGCCCACCAAGGCGACGAUGCGUAGCCGACCUGAGAGGGUGAUCGGCCACACUGGGACUGAGACACGGCCCAGACUCCUACGGGAGGCAGCAGUAGGGAAUCUUCGGCAAUGGACGCAAGUCUGACCGAGCAACGCCGCGUGAGUGAGGAAGGUCUUCGGAUCGUAAAGCUCUGUUGCCAGGGAAGAACGGCCGGGAGAGGGAAUGCUCCCGGCGUGACGGUACCUGAGAAGAAAGCCCCGGCUAACUACGUGCCAGCAGCCGCGGUAAUACGUAGGGGGCAAGCGUUGUCCGGAAUUAUUGGGCGUAAAGCGCGCGCAGGCGGUUCUUUAAGUCUUGUGUUUAAGCCCGGGGCUCAACCCCGGUACGCAUGGGAAACUGGGGGACUGGAGUGCAGGAGAGGAAAGUGGAAUUCCACGUGUAGCGGUGAAAUGCGUAGAGAUGUGGAGGAACACCAGUGGCGAAGGCGACUUUCUGGCCUGUAACUGACGCUGAGGCGCGAAAGCGUGGGGAGCAAACAGGAUUAGAUACCCUGGUAGUCCACGCCGUAAACGAUGAGUGCUAGGUGUCGGGGGUUUCGAUGCCCUCGGUGCCGAAGUCAACACAAUAAGCACUCCGCCUGGGGAGUACGCUCGCAAGAGUGA